CAGUCGCCACGGUAAUACGAAGGGGGCUAGCGUUGCUCGGAAUGACUGGGCGUAAAGGGCGCGUAGGCGGAUUGUUUAGUUAGGCGUGAAAUUCCUGGGCUUAACCUGGGGACUGCGCUUAAUACAGGCAGUCUAGAGUGAGGAAGAGGGUUGUGGAAUUCCCAGUGUAGAGGUGAAAUUCGUAGAUAUUGGGAAGAACACCGGUGGCGAAGGCGGCAGCCUGGUCCUUGACUGACGCUGAGGCGCGAAAGCGUGGGGAGCAAACAGGAUUAGAUACCCCCGUAGUCCCUGUCUCUUAUAC
rnacentral:rRNA from 1 species